GGAGAAGGGAAACAUUAGAAUAAAAAUUGUCUGGAUAUGAGACUUGCUCAAAUGUAUACACAUAUGUGAGAUGGGGAGGGUAGAGAAGGGCAGCAUCAAAGAUUCUAGCACUGGUGACUAAGUUGAUAAGAGAUGAUGGAGAAAAAAGAGCAGAAAUCCAGAAAUAAAUUCUACCUUGUAUAUACUGAACCUAAACUGUCAUAAAUCCAGGCAGCAUGGCUGACAAACAACUCAAUAUGGAAGUCUGACACUUGACACUGGAAAGAGAAGUCUGAGCAAAAUUUUAUAGAAAUUAUCCACACAAUCACUCCCAGCUGGCUGCAAAGGAAACUAGGAUGGCUAGUUUUUAUUUUAUGUAGCUAUAUGUCCAGCUAAAAACCGGGAAUUUUAUCAUUAAAAGAGAAUGCAACCUGGAUAAAUUUGCAACAUUUCCUCCCCCCAGGUAGAGCUUUAUAAGAUAACACUCUCCUAGAUUUAUCUCAUGCAGCACAAUCUAUUACUAUAUCUGGGAGAACUCAAUGGGCAACUGCAAAUUUCAGAGAGUUCAUUCUGCUUCUCCAAUAAUUUAUACAAAAAGUUUAAAGACUACAUAUACCAACCCACUUUACACUUCUAGAAAAAGAAUAUAAAUUGUCACUUUGAAUGAAAAUGAUGUAUCAAUGUUCAGUUCACUAACUGCACUGAUAGUUGGAGAGGCUGUGCAUGUGUGAGGACAGGAAAUAUACAGGAACUCUGCACCUAAAACUGCUCUAAAAGAAUUAAAUAUUUUUUAAAAAAGGAAAGAAAUUCUGAUGCAUGCUAUAACAUGAACCCUGAAAACAUCAAACACAAAAGAACAAAUACUGUAGAUUAUAUUCAUGAUGUACUAGAAUAAGCAAACAUACAGAGAAAGUAAGUUGAACCGUACUUAUCAGGAGGAGUAUGGGCAGUUACUGUUUAGCGAAAACAGAGCUUCAGUUCAGGAUGAGUUCAGAAGGUGGUUGCACAAUAAUGUGAAAGUACUUAAUGACACUCAACAGUACACUUGUAGUUACAAUGGUUAAAUGCUAUGUUAUGUACACUUUCUACCAUAAAAAUAAUUACAAGCUUUGUAACUACAUUUCAACAUGAGGGGAAAAUGAAGACAGCAAGCUAAAGAAACUGGGAGUACAUAAAUAUGUAUCUUGGCACAAAUGUCACUUCAUCAGAGUUGCCUUUCCUAGAAGCCUCCAGCCCCCUAAAAAACAAGGACCAGCUCUUUGUUCUAUACCUUUUGUUAAGUACUGGGAAUUGAAUCCAGGGGCACUUCACCAAUAAGCCAUACCACCAGUCCUUUUAUUUUUAUUUUAAAAUUCUAAGACAGGGUCUGGCUAAGUUGCCCAGGCUGGCCUUAUAACUUGCGAUCCUCCGACCUCAGCUUCCUGGAUCACUGGGAUUACAGGCAUGUGCCACCAUGUCUGACCCCUUUAUUAUAUACUCUUAUAUUGCCCUAACUCUUCUUUCAUUUGAUCACAAUGGGUCACUGAUUCAAUAAUCAGAGAAAAAAAUUCUCCCUCAUUAGAUUGAAUUCCACUGAGAACUGGCACUAUUUAUCUUUAUCACUAAAUGUUCAGCACCUACUACAGGAGGUGGCUUACACGCAUUAAAUGUCCAACAAAUUUAUUGAAUGCUAACAGUAUACCCUACACUAUUAAAUCAUUUACUUACACUUGAGAGUCUACUUAAUUCUAAACAUCCUAAGCAUUAUUUAAACUCAUUUUUUUGAAACCCCUUACCAGAAAAAAACAAACACACAUAAAAUUUUACAUCAUGAUAUCAGGAGUUCAAAGACUUUCUAAACCUUGGAUAGACUGUGAAUUAAAGUUCUGUUCUAAUAAGAAAAUUGUGUGUGGAGGGAAAAACCUAACAUCUUCCUCAAAAAAAGGUCUCUCUGAUUCGAGCAACUCCAUAAAUUAGUCUUCCUAAAACAGUUUUGACCAACCAAAAGUCCUCAAUGACAAAAGAAUCAAGGCUAAAAGUAAGAUGAACUCCAGGAAAAAGAAGUUAUUUCCAGUAUCAAGGUCAGUGAAGAAUAGAAACCAGAUCUGACCCAGCCAGGUCCAUAUUCUCCAGUUUUUUUUUUGUUUUGUUUUUUUAAUAUGGUCUCCUUACAUUGUCUCUAGUCCCUUACACAGUCUACUAGAUGAAAUCACAUCCAUAUUCAGAUCCACUUCAAACACUACCCUCCAUAUAGCUUUUGUCUAUUUAUCCUGACAAAAACUUAUCAUCUGUCUCCCAACAAAUUCACAGUU
rnacentral:lncRNA from 1 species